rnacentral:rRNA from 1 species
CCGGGUUGCGGACAGUGUCUGGUGGGUAGUUUGACUGGGGCGGUCUCCUCCUAAAGAGUAACGGAGGAGCACGAAGGUUGGCUAAUCCUGGUCGGACAUCAGGAGGUUAGUGCAAUGGCAUAAGCCAGCUUGACUGCGAGCGUGACGGCGCGAGCAGGUGCGAAAGCAGGUCAUAGUGAUCCGGUGGUUCUGAAUGGAAGGGCCAUCGCUCAACGGAUAAAAGGUACUCCGGGGAUAACAGGCUGAUACCGCCCAAGAGUUCAUAUCGACGGCGGUGUUUGGCACCUCGAUGUCGGCUCAUCACAUCCUGGGGCUGAAGUAGGUCCCAAGGGUAUGGCUGUUCGCCAUUUAAAGUGGUACGCGAGCUGGGUUUAGAACGUCGUGAGACAGUUCGGUCCCUAUCUGCCGUGGGCGCUGGAGAACUGAGGGGGGCUGCUCCUAGUACGAGAGGACCGGAGUGGACGCAUCACUGGUGUUCGGGUUGUCAUGCCAAUGGCACUGCCCGGUAGCUAAAUGCGGAAGAGAUAAGUGCUGAAAGCAUCUAAGCACGAAACUUGCCCCGAGAUGAGUUCUCCCUGACUCCUUGAGAGUCCUGAAGGAACGUUGAAGACGACGACGUUGAUAGGCCGGGUGUGUAAGCGCAGCGAUGCGUUGAGCUAACCGGUACUAAUGAACCGUGAG